UACGUAGGGGGCAAGCGUUGUCCGGAUUUAUUGGGGGUAAAGAGCGUGUAGGCGGUUAGGUAGGUCCGUUGUGAAAACUCGAGGCUCAACCUCGAGACGCCGAUGGAAACCAUCUGACUAGAGUCCGGAAGAGGAGAGUGGAAUUCCUGGUGUAGCGGUGAAAUGCGCAGAUAUCAGGAAGAACACCCGUGGCUAAGGCGGCUCUCUAGUACGUGACUGACGCUGAGACGCGAAAGCGUGGGGAGCGAACAGG
rnacentral:rRNA from 1 species